rnacentral:lncRNA from 1 species
UCUCUCUCUCUCUCUCUCUCUCUCUCUCUCUCUCUUUGUACACGGCCCAGAGCCAGUGCCUCCCAACAACCAAGGCGCCCCUAAUGAAGGAACAAGAAAAAAGUCACCCCGUUCCUGGCCAUUUCAAGGGCCACCCGAAAUCGGGACCGACCAAUGAAAUAUGUCGCCGCCUUUUUUCUCGCAAUUAAAAGGGCGGUAGCACGAAAGAGGAACCCGGCAGGGAGGCACCGUCGAGCAGCGCCCUUGAGAGCAGAGCAGGGCCGCUUAUCGUGCCCGCCUGCCCGCCUGUCCCUUUUUCGUAUGCCGCAAUCAGCGCUUUUUUAUUCCCUUUUUUUUGAUUUUUUUGUAAACAUCCGCCAUUGGGUGCGACCCCAAAAACACAGACAGGCUUGACAGGAC